AGAGUUUGAUCCUGGCUCAGAGUGAACGCUGGCGGCAGGCCUAACACAUGCAAGUCGAACGGCAGCACAGCAGUAGCAAUACUGUGGGUGGCGAGUGGCGGACGGGUGAGGAAUGCGUCGGAAUCUGCCUAUUUGUGGGGGAUAACGUAGGGAAACUUACGCUAAUACCGCAUACGACCUACGGGUGAAAGUGGGGGACCUUCGGGCCUCACGCAGAUAGAUGAGCCGACGCCGGAUUAGCUAGUUGGCGGGGUAAAGGCCCACCAAGGCGACGAUCCGUAGCUGGUCUGAGAGGAUGAUCAGCCACACUGGGACUGAGACACGGCCCAGACUCCUACGGGAGGCAGCAGUGGGGAAUAUUGGACAAUGGGCGCAAGCCUGAUCCAGCCAUGCCGCGUGUGUGAAGAAGGCCUUCGGGUUGUAAAGCACUUUUGUCCGGGAAAAGAAAUCCUUUCGAUUAAUAACUUCGGGAGGGAUGACGUACCGGAA
rnacentral:rRNA from 1 species